GGGAAGGUGCCAGAGUGGUCGAUUGGGAACGCCUGCUAAGUGUUUGCACGGGCUAAAACCUGUGCCGAGGGUUCAAAUCCCUCCCUUCCCGCCA
rnacentral:tRNA from 1 species